CUUUCUUUGCUGGCGACCGGCGCACGGGUGAGUAACACGUAUCCAACCUGCCCUUUACUCGGGGAUAGCCUUUCGAAAGAAAGAUUAAUACCCGAUAGCAUAAUGAUUCCGCAUGGUUUCAUUAUUAAAGGAUUCCGGUAAAGGAUGGGGAUGCGUUCCAUUAGGUUGUUGGUGGGGUAACGGCCCACCAAGCCUUCGAUGGAUAGGGGUUCUGAGAGGAAGGUCCCCCACAUUGGAGCUGAGACACGGUCCAA
rnacentral:rRNA from 1 species